CAACGCCUACCACGUGCGCCCAGCUUGCCCCCACACGCUGUCCCUAAUGCAACCUCGCCUGCUCGCACUGCUCCACCUCCCCCAUACGUUGGAGGAGUUCCACGCCUGCCUCCUCUGCUCCCACGGCCGCAACGGCACCACGACGCGCGUCGUCGGGAGCCACCAGGAUGUCUGCUACCUACCCCUUCUCAAGGAGUAGCUCUCCGAGCCAUGGACUGGCGCGAGUGAGGCACCGUCAUCGAGAUCUCAAAAUUCCGGAGAAUGUCUCGAAGUGCAUAGAUUGAAAAAAGUAGCAUAAGAAGAAUGGAUUUGUGGAAUUGAUUAUUUUCACAAGACUGCAAAUCAGAGUAGAUGUUUUUCGACCAUGCUUUACUCUAAACGCUUUAUGAAGCAUCUCAGCGUGCGUUUCAGCUCUACAGUUCUAUAAUCCAUCCAAGUAUCCAUGUAUGUAUGCUCAACAACAUCUAUUUGCUCGAUCGAUACUUGUUGGGUUUUUGAAACUGGGAGCAUGUGGAUAGAUGAGAAGGAUUGGAAUCAUUAUGUUUUGCCUAUUUGGUGGUAAAUCAGUACUACAUUUCUAUGUAACAUUGUUUUUAUAUACGUGUAGCUCUGUUUGGCUUUGGCAGAA